rnacentral:rRNA from 1 species
GGUUUUAAUUCGAAGCAACGCGAAGAACCUUACCUGAUCUUGACAUCCCGAUGACCGCUUCGUAAUGGAAGCUUUUCUUCGGAACAUCGGUGACAGGUGGUGCAUGGUUGUCGUCAGCUCGUGUCGUGAGAUGUUGGGUUAAGUCCCGCAACGAGCGCAACCCCUAUCUUCAGUAGCCAGCAGGUUAAGCUGGGCACUCUGGAGAGACUGCCAGGGAUAACCUGGAGGAAGGUGGGGAUG